AGUUGUGGGGAGCUAAGCUGAGAGGUCCAGUACACCAAGAUGCUGGUUGGGUUGGGAGUGCUAUGGACUAGGUCAAGUGCCUGUUGAACAGCUAAAUGUGGUUGACUAAACAAGGAGCAUGGGGCAGUUGUGCAGAGAGAAGCAGACAUGUAACAUGGAGGAGUCAUAUUAACGACAAACUUCUAGAACAGAGUUUCAUGCUACGUUUAGACAUUUCCCGAAGUUCCAGGCACAGUGAGCUCUAUUUGUACUUGAAUUCCUAUCCUUGGAUUUAUGCUUCCUGAUCUGGCUUCAUUUGGUGUCUGUUUCUUGCAUCCAAAAGAGGCCCAACCCAAGCAACCCUUUACAUAGAUUUCAUUUAAUUUGUGCUUCGUCCCCUCGGAGGUCACAUGUACCACGGAGCCCAUUUGGAGGUCAGAGGACAACUUGCGGGUGUUGGUUCUCUCUUUCCACCAUGCAGGUCUUGGAAUGAAAUUCAGAUCUGGUAAGCAGGAGACCCUUCAAGAGUGUUCCUUUGCCAUGCUGUCAUUAGUCUUUGAGUACUUCCUGCAACUCCUGUUUCUUCUAGCAUAAAAUGGUAUUUAUAAGUAUGGCUACCAGCCCUCUUCAAAGAAGACUCUCUUUACAGCAAAUGUAGACCAUCACAGAAAAGCUGGGAUUAAAGGCAUGCGUCACCAACGCCCGGCGGCAUGCAUGUAUUCUAAGCAUCUAUGUCCCUACGCUCUUCCCCUCCUUCCCGAUGGCCAACUCCCAGGUGGGACUCAAGCUGGAACAGCCUCUAUCUGCUUUGCCUGGAGAAACCGUUUUGAAAUAGGAGGCAGGGCGUUUCUGCCUCCAAAUUUUGCAGCAAAGUUUUGUCUACUCACCUCUGACUCAUGUCCGGAUGCAAAGGUUGAUGUCCAGGUAUUAGCCAACCCCGCCCCCCAACGCCCAACCCUGUGCUUAGACUGUCUCCAAGGGAAGGUGUCCCUGAACUUCAAGAUUCUGUGAAGAAGCAAGAUUCAGCUGAUGCUGUCUGAGAGCAAGAUGGAAAAACACUGUGGCUGCAGCCCAAGAGUAUAACUUUUCAAUGAUGAAAAAAGAAGCUGAAAUCAUGGCCCACUUCCUUCCAGGGGUCGUUGCUCUAGAGAUGAUUAUCACAGUCAGAGUCUUCCACUUUGGUGCAAAACUCCAAGAAGGGGAAACUUGUGCAGCCAGAGAUAGAAGAGCAUGAACACUGUCCCCACACCCUUCUUUAGAAGCUUAAGCCAGGCUCAGUGGCUCACUCUUUCUACCUGCUGCUUGUGGAUCCAGAUGUAGAACUCUCAGCUACCUCUCCAGUACCAUGUCUGUCUGUGUGUCUUCAUGAUGCCUGCCAUGAUGAUAAUGGACUAAACCUCUGAACUGUAAGCCAG
rnacentral:lncRNA from 1 species